UCUCUCUAACGUGUAUAUAUAUAUAUGUAUGUAUAUAACUGCUACUACUGAGUCUUGAAGGUCUAUCUUUUGGGUUUACACAUAUACAGAUAUAAGCACUAGCCUAAUACAAUACAAGUCAGACGUGAACCUGUAAAAAACACCUAUUUGAAUACACAGGCUACUUGUCCAGACAUAUCUAAACCACAGAUCUAUUUCCACAGAGUUUAAUGGAAAAACUAUAUCAGUUUGUUUUGGGAUUGUGGUCACCAGCAAAGAACAACUAUUGUUGAGACUAUCACUAAUGCAUUACUUUGUUAAAACUUAAAGUCAUAAAACGGAAACUAGUUAGAUUUAAGGGGGAAAUGUGAAAGGGGCUUGCCAUACAACGCCGCCUCCUCAUCCUCCACCUCCUACUCUACUCGUGUCUCAUCUACAGUUUAAAAACAAAUAUGAUAAACUCGAGAACUGCGACUUAACCGUGAUGAAAACUGCACGGAGGAAAUCUAGCAGACACCGUCUUUUGUCAUAAGUAAAAGCGGCUAAAUUAAGCGAGUGCGAAACUUCAGGAGAGAGCGAGAGGAAACGGCUCACUAACCGCCACACCAUGACAUCACCGUGUUUAACAGUUUUAAAAAGCGAACAAACAACUCGAAUAGUCACUUAAACAUGCAUGUCAGAGCAACGAGGAAGUGUAAAAGUUAAUAAAAGCGUCACUGCCGAGUAAAAUCCUCAAGUGCAGCGAUUAGUCUCUGUUUGCUAAAAGCCCGUUACGUGCGGAGCAAUUGUAAUAUUUAUUAUGGUCGUAAGACUGGCACUACCUUAGAUACGAUUGACGUAAGUUCUAUAAAACAACAGUAACAAUAGGGUCAGUGCUUUAGAAGUGACAUCUUUCUCCUCCAAUCGGAUCCUGCGGCGUCGUGUAAGCAUCCAAUCAGAGAAAAGAGGCUGACUGCGUUUUACGUUGCAUGUGGCUGUGUCACGUGUAGUUGUAGGAUCUGUGGAAGAGGUGUGGUGCUGAACAUGAGUUGUUUUGCUGGGACUUACAGAGAAUUUGUAUUACAACCGCUUUACAGCAGCCAGACCAGCUGGCUUUGGACGGCUUUCUUCUUGCCCCUGUGAGGCCUGACUUCACACUCUCGUCCCUGGGUCUUUCUGCCGGAAGGGAGCUGGGCGACAGAAGUUUGAAGGGUAGGAUCCCAGAUGGACGCUGACACGCUGGGCAUGCGUGUAUGUGACAGGGCUUGGCUCAGGGGAGUGGUGGACCAGCCGCAGCUGUCACUCACAAAUACUGAGUGUGUUAGAUGUGUUUUGUCUUAUUAGUAUUGAUAAAAGUGCAAAAUUGUGCUGAUCGGAGAACAACAAUGGCUGACUAUUCACAAGAGAAAGGGACGAUAUAAGGAAUGAUGCCCUGUUGGUUUGCUUUCUCAUUGUAAAACUUUGCCAGCGAUGGCACCAGUAUUUUCAAGUGUAAUUUUAAUUGCCAGUAGAAGUCAUGUUACAUUAGCCACCAACAUUUGAGGAUGAUUUCAAAUCAUACUGUAAGUUGCCAUGAAGCUUCGCAUUGAACAUUUUCUUGGAUAACCAAACGCAAUCUUAGAAUCAUAACUGUCAGUUUGAAAACCUUGCCCCACUAUACUUUUGAUACCUUUUGGACAUAGAAGGACCACUACACCUCUACUCAAAUAUGCCAUGGAGGGGUAUGCACAUUUUUAGAAAUAAUGAUGCAUAAUGAUUGUUUGGAAACAUGGGUUUACAGAUCCCAAUGUAAAUGGGAGGAUUUCCAUGUUAUCACAAUGGCAUUGAUAAUGUACUGUAGGGAAAAUAAAUAAUUAAUGACUUAGUAGAAAA